ensembl:lncRNA
GGUCAGGAUUAUUUGGGUUUGUUUGACAGCUACGUAAUGUUGUUCCAGGCGGCAGCGUUACGGUUGCCAUGGUUACAGGGUGACGCGCUCUCUCUCUGCGUGUUUCCUGGGUGAGAGAGCGCUUUUUUGUUGUUGUUGUUGUGCUAAGCUAAAAGGCAGAAUGCUACAGGCAUAGCGCUAAAGAAUGUAGCCUGAUGGGCAGUGUAGUCCGUGCUGCAGGGAGAAUGGACUACCAUACCCGUUAUGUGUCUGUGAGCGAGGGAGGGAGAGAAAGGAAAGUCCGAGCUGUCACGGAGCAAAAACGGGAGCUGGAAGCAUGUAAAUAUAAUAAUAACCACUGCAGCCAAGAAGAGUGCCUGACGAGCCCAUUUAUCAGUUGUGUUACUUCAGUAUGUCAGUGAAAAACUCCGUGUAAAUUCAGACACGUGAGGUUGAGCUGAAGAGAAUGAUACCAAACAAACGAGGCAAAAAAAGAAAAACUUCCUCUAGAUCCGCCCCUGGACCUGCUGCCUCACAGAUUACACCUCAGGCUCAUCUGUCAGUCUCCCCACACUGGACCAGCUCACUGAUACCUGAGGAAGCAGGAGUCUCAUCCUCUUCCUCAAACCUUCUCACAGCCAUCACUUCAUCAAUGUUCGCCAACCGUGCAAACGGGCGCGCAGCAACCGGUAUGGCGCCAAAGUACUUACCCCCGACAGAGCCUGUCCCCCUGUCCCAAUCAUGGACAAACAGUAUUCCCACAUUCUUGAAAUGUGUUUUACAAGAAUAAAACAGACGUUUUCUCCAGUG